AAUAGAGGAACUCAGUCUAAGAACGCCAAGUCCUGUGGCAACGACCAACAUCAUGUUGG
rnacentral:sRNA from 1 species